GAAAAGUUCAGGCUCAUACGAGCCAACGACGAUGCGACUCUUUUGGAUGCUCUCUCCUUCAGCGCUCGUAAAAUUAGACUGCUUCGCAGCUUGACGGUUGAGAAGAAAAACUAUGUUCAGGAGCCCUCUUUGGUCGACAUGCAUGAGGAGGAGGAAAUUGUCUCCCCACACAAGGAGGAUGCCUGAGCUGACCAGCAGGACACCCUCGUCCACCCCGGCCACCACACAAGGGCGAGGCCGGUGAUGUCCGUGCGGUGAUGUCCCUAGGGUGGCGCCACUGUGCCCGGCGCUUGCCCUGGUCGCCGCGGUGGUGCUUCGGCGGCUUCCCGACCCUCUCCUCGAUGUGGUGAUGGUCACACCACAGCCGUCGUGUGGCUGAGCCUCUGCUACGGUUACAACCUUCCUCUGGUGAGCUCCUCCCCGUUCCUUCUUCACUGAUGUAGCUCCUGCAUGGCCUUGGCCAUGAUUUGGGUUGGAUGUGGGGCUCUGCUAGUUGCUGCUAGAUGAUGUAACCAAGCAUCAACUCCUACUGGAGCUCUCUGGUGAUAAAUUCAUGCGGUUCUAGGGUCUGUCAGUAGCUGCCCAU